GAUGAAGAACGUAGCGAAACGGGAUAUGUAAUGUGAAUUGCAGAAUUCAGUGAAUCAUCGAAUCUUUGAACGCACAUGGCGCCUUCCAGUAUCCUGGGAGGCAUGCCUGUCCGAGCGUCGUUUCAACCCUCGAGCCCCCGUGGCCCGGCGUUGGGGAUCUGCCACGGCAGGCCCCUAAAACCAGUGGCGGACCCGAAGGCCCUCUCCUUUGCGCAGUAGCAUCAGCCUCGCAUUGGGAUCCCUCGGCGUCCUGCCUCUAAACCCCCCACAAGUCCGCUCCGGCGGCACCAAGGUUGACCUCGGAUCAGGAAGGAAUACCCGCUGAACUUAAGCAUAUCAAUAAGCGGAGGA
rnacentral:misc_RNA from 1 species